rnacentral:rRNA from 1 species
AAGCGUAACAAGGUCUCCGUUGGUGAACCAGCGGAGGGAUCAUUA